GGGGAUAUAGCUCAGCAGGCUAGAGCGUUUGACUGGCAGUCAAGAGGUCAGGGGUUCGACUCCCCUUAUCUCCA
rnacentral:tRNA from 1 species